GGUGACGCCAUCCACCGGACUCCGCUUGCGUCUCGGUGGUCCUUCGCGCGGAAUUGUGGGAAGGCCGAAGCGGAAGGCGAGCCGUUUCCAUAGCAACGAAGCUGAAGGAAAACGGAAAUAGUCCCAGCAGGAUCCUCUGAAGAUGUCAGUCACAGAUGCAGGUGAAACGUCAGGAGAAAAUGCUGCUAGAAUAUGGCCGUACAGCCUGGAAACCACACAACAUUCCAGAAAAUGGGAGAUUUACACUGCAGUGUUCAGAUGCGGCCACGCGAGGGAGCCUAUAGGUUAGAGUUCUGAACGACUACAAGGACCUGUCAAAAUAAUAUAUAUUUUAUAUAUAUAUAUAUAGUUAUUUUUAUUAAUAACUAUGAUUAUUAGAUUAUAUUUAUUUACACCUUUCUCUUUCUCUCUUAAAAGAGCCCCAGAGCCGCCAAGAACAUUUAUUAUUUUACAUUAUUAUUAUUAUUAUUAUUAUUAUUAAAAGGAUACAUAAGCACAUUUACAUUGAAGAAGUUGAGAAUAAUGAUUUAAUCAUUGUUGUUAUCUUAAAUGACAGUUUUAUGUAUUCAAAAUAUUCAAAAAUGUAAUUAUUAUCUAUGUUUAUUUCUGAGAUUUCGGCUUAUACUUGAGUCAAUGUUUUCCCAGCUUUUUGUGGUAAAAUUAGGUGCCUUGGCUUAUAGUCUAGUCGGCUUAUACUUGAGUAUAUACGGUACAUUAUAACUGUACCCUCAGUUCGCUUCUGAUACGAUAAAUAAAAUAACCUACAGGGCUUGGGAGAUCUGGACCAAACUUGGCACUUACUGUUAUUAUCAGUAGUUAUUAUCACCAUUAUUUCUAUCCCACUCUAUUCCUAUUAAAAAGAGACCCAACAAUAUAAGCAAUACAAUAUAUAAUGUAAAACCGUAAAACAUACAACCAUUUGAAUAGAACAUAUCCUUCACGAUCCAUCUUAAAAUUAUUGAGGGGUUUGAAGUAAAGGAAAAACAGAAACAAAAUAAAGGAAGGAGAAAAAAGAAAGAGUGAAGGAAGGAAGGGAGCAGGAGAAGAAAAAGGGAAGGAAGGGAAGAAAGAAGGGAAUGUACGCUCCUGUUUUAUAGCAGAUUUUCUAUUAUUAUUAUUAUUAUUAUUAUUAUUUACUACAUUUAUAUCCCGCUCUUCUCACCCCGAAGGGGACUCAGAGCGGCUUACAAAUCAAAUGUAUAUACAAUAUAUUAUUAGCAUAGCACAAUAUAAGCAUUAAGUUACUAUAUUGUACUAUAUCAUUAUAUGGUAAUAUUAUUGGUAAUAUUACAUUUAAUAUAUAAUAUAUAAUUAAUAUUAUUGUAUUGUGUUAGUAGUAGUGCAAUAUUGUAUUACAUUAUAAUAUUAUCAAUAUUAUAUGUAUAUACAAUAUAUUAUAUAUUUAUAAAUUAUUAUAAAUUAUAUAUAUAUGUAUAUAAACUUAGCAUAGCAUGUUGCUAUGGCACAGGAGACAAGAUGGAACUAUCUUCCUGACUCUCAGGUUGGUAUGAAGUGGGCAAGGUGGUAGUCCUUUGUGAUACUAUAAAUUUUUCUCAGGAGAAGGCGAUGAUUUACAAUAUCAUAUGCUGCUGACAGGUCUAUGAAGACAACAAGCCGGGGCCAGGCUGUGGUGCAGCUGGCUAGUAACCAGCUGCUAUAAAUCACUACUGACCGAGAGGUCAUGAGUUCGAAGCCCGGGUCGGGUUAAGCCUCCGACCAUUAAUAGCCCCGGCUUGCUGUUGACCUAUGCAGCCCCGAAAGACAGUUGCACCUGUCAAUUAGGGAAAUUUAGGUACGCUUUAUGCGGGAGGCUAAUUUACAACAUCAUAAAACUGCCAGCAAAACAUGAGGAAAGGAAUGAGGAAGUACAGCCACUUCUGGACGGUGAAGCAACAGCUCCCCCUGUGGCCGGAAUCGUGAAGCUGGAAAAAUGUUAAAAAUGCCUCUGAGUCUGUCUAAUGUAUGUUGUUUGUCUGUUGGCAUUGAAUGUUUGCCAUAUAUGUGUUCAUUGUAAUCCGCCCUGAGUCCCCUUCGGGGUGAGAAAGAAGGGCGGGAUAUAAAUACUGCAAAUAAAUAAAUAAAUAAAUACCCUUUAAAAGGCACCAUAUUGGGAAACGGGUCAUGAACACUCCUAAAAAGGGCACUAAAUAUUCUAAAAAGGGACUGAGCAAAGCAACUUUUGCAAAGCCAUUUAAUAGUAAUAAUAAAACAUCAAACCUUAGAUGAGUUCUCUAGAGUGUAUAAUCUUCAUCAGGGGAUAUUGUUCAAAACAACAAUGUUAUAAAAGAAAGACUUUAAAAAAAAGAAAAGAAAAUGUACUGUGCUGCAUAAAAAUGAUUCAUGUCAUUUCGUGGAGAAUUGCUGAGAUACAAACAAGGUAAUCUAUCUAAUACAAAGCCACAGUAAUGAAACAGGUUUCCACUUGCAAUAUGUACAAAGAUGACCCCAGAUAAUAGUAAUUUUAAAAUACUUAAAAUUUCAAUCUGUUUGGGGAAGCAAAGAUAAGGGAGAAAAGGAAUGUUUAAAAUUAAUGAUAAAGUAGGAAAUCGUUAUAUUUCAGGUAUAAAAAUGAGUGGAUUUUAAAAUAUUUUAUUUAUGUUGUAUAUGUAUCUUUCAGGUCAGCAACCGGUAUCAAUAUUUAUGUUGUUUUGUCCUGAAGUCAGCCGUUUAAUAAAACAAACAAAAUGGCAUUGGAUGAAACAAUCAAAACAGCAAUAUGAAAUCAUAAAAAAGUAUCAAGUAGGAUAAUGCAGCAUGAAAAGCCAAUAGGCAGAUUAUUCUGAGCAGCCUAACAGAGAAAUCUGAUGCAUAUCUAUUCAGAAUGGCCCCACUGAGCACACUGGGGCUUAUUCCCAAGUGAAUGGGCAUCUAACAACAAUCUUCUUUGUUUGCAGUAUUAUCCAUGGCAGAAACCUUGAAUCAGGCAGCAAUCAAAAACACAUAAUGAGAAUAAAAACAGGUUUGCUUUUCUACUUUACUAUCAUUUGAAGAGUCUGUAUUAAGCACUCAGCCAUUUUAACAUUCUUUAAGAGCAAUUCUUCAGCUCUUCCAAUGGCAGGUGACGGACUCUCCAACAUGUUUACUAUUGCUGAAAUUACUUGGAGAUUACAUUUGUAUUUUAACCGCUAUUCUUCAAGGGCUUGUUGUUAACAAAGCUACAGAGUUGGGUUUCUGGGAAUAAAUCCUGAUAACAAACCAAAUCCUCUUGGCACCGAAUUAGAAAGAACAUGUUUGUAUCACUUGCCAGGUCAGAAGGUGAUUUGGUUUGAAAGAAAUGGAUAAGCGGGUGGAUUUCCCCUUCCACUGAAACCAAUACAUACUUCUUUGUCUCUGCUGGGCUCUGUUUUGGGAAUGAAGAUCCAAAGUCUCACUUGAUCCAACACACUCCCAUUACAUCCACCAUAGUAAAAGCACUUCCAGUGAUAUUUCUGUGCUCAUUUUAGCCAGGGAUAAGUGCAGCCCUUAUCAACCAAGAGUGCAGUAAUUUCAUUAAAUGGCUGUUACUGGAGGCCCUUUAACUGCGGUGACUAUACUUUUUUACCAUCAUUAUUAUAUUUCAAUUGCUUUUCAGACUGUAGUAAAUUAAUGCUUUCAAUAUGAUUGUCAAGUAAAUUGUUUGAAAGUUGUCUUCUAUCUUGUUUUAAGUGUAUACAAACUAAUAUUUUAAACCACCUUAAGGAUAAAAGCAGAAUCUGUACACAUAAUAAAAGUGAAAAUAUGUAUGUACAGUAGAGUCUCACUUAUCCAAGCUAAACGGGCCAGCAGAAGCUUGGAUAAGCAAAUAUCUUGAAUAAUAAGGAGGGAUUAAGGAAAAGCCUAUUAAACAUCAAAUUAGGUUAUGAUUUUACAAAUUAAGCACCAAAACAUCAUGUUAGACAACAAAUUUGACAGAAAAAGUAGUUCAAUAGGCAGUAAUGUUAUGUUGUAAUUUAUUUACGAAUUUAGCACCAAAAUAUCACGAUAUAUUGAAAACGACUACAAAAAUGGCUUGGAUAAUCCAGAAGCUUGGAUAAGCGAGUCUUGGAUAAGUGAGACUCUACUGUAUUUGUGUAGCUGGGGUGUCCGCUUACACAGACAAGCUCCCGCUUCCACAAAUAACUAUAGCUCCCACUACUAAGGAGAUGCUAAUGCUCCUCCCUCCAGUGACAUUGCAGGUUAUAGUGAGCGCUGUAAACAUGUCCAAGUGUCGCACCUCAGGUUAGCUUCACCUUGCUAAAUACGCCAUGCUGUACACAGGUUUUUUGUAGUUUAUUAGGAAAUAGGAAAAUAAUAGUUCUUAAAAAGCAAAAGUAUAGUUCCAAAAGUUCGUUGCAAAACAAGGCUAUAAAGAAUAAUCCAAGAAAACGUUAGGCAUAAGACAAGGUUCCAUUUUUUUUUUCGUGUCAGGAGCAACCGGAGUUGCUUCUGGAGUGAGAGAAUUGGCCGUCUGCAAGGACGUUGCCCAGGGGACGCCCGGAUGUUUUGAUGUUUUUACCAUCCUUGUGGGAGGCUUCUCUCAUGUCCCCGCAUGGAGCUGGAGCUGAUAGAGGGAGCUCAUCCACACUCUCCCCAGGUGGGAUUCGAACCUGGCAGCUUUCAGGUCAGCAAACCAACCUUCAAGUCACUUAGUCCACUACGCCAUCUGGGGGCUCCAAGGUUCCAUUAAGGCAUGACAAAGACCCAUGAACAUGAAUACACCAAGGCUGCAAGAUAAUCCGGGAAAGCAAGAGCUGGCUUCUUGACUCAAAUGAGAAGUUGCUUUGACAAAGGUUCCUCUCUCAGCACACUGUUUUAAUACCCUUUGCACAGCAUGAAUGCAUUUCUUUGGCCUCUGGCCUCCCUCUUGUUUGCUAUUCCUGCGAAUCCUGAAUUCCAAACGGCCAGCCUGAUCCAAAGAUUCUGUUUCGUCAAGGCCAGACAGCUUGUUAGCAUUAGUGUCUGUCUGCAUGCUAUCAGACUGGGAGCUGUCCUCCCUUUGCACCUGGCUAGCUUCAGUAUCAUCUUCAAAAUCAUCAACACCUCCCUGCUCCUCAUCUGCCACAGCAGGAGCACUCUGAACCUGAAUCCCAUAAUCCCCAUCAGAGUCAUCUUGAACCUGAAUCUCAUCAUCUUGAACCUGAAUCCCAUAAUCCCAUAAUUUCAAAUAACUUGGGCAACACCGAGUACCCAAGCUAGUAGAAAAUAAAUGAAAAUAUGAAAGGAAGACACUCGCUAUCACAAUUUGCAUAGCCACACUAUCGCUGUGAUGGUGACUGCCUGGUACCACAUUGGCAUCCAGAUGGUCCAGCCCAGUUGAGACCCUAAUGAAGGUUGCUGCAUUGAAUCAUUUCAACACAUUGAUCCUACCAAUUCUGAUCUCUAACAGGAGCAGGUCUUUUGUAAAACUAGUAGAUCUUGCUCAUUCGAGGCAAAGCCACAGCAAAACAACAACGUUUGAUUACAGCAAGGAUGGCUAGCCGCAGUGUCUUGUGGUUUUGCAAAUCUGUUCCCGCAGCCACUGAGAAGAUUGCUGCAAAGCUCCGAAGGCGCAAGAUGAUGGGGAUGACAGAUGAUGGCAUCGUUCCCAUUAAUCAGAAUUACUGGCAGUUUGACCCCGACUGUCCUGGCUGUACUCCAUCACUAUUGCAAAGAGACGGAUGUUUCUCCAAAACCAUUCAGGCUGGUGGAGAUUGGUUGAUGGGCUGGAGGACUGCAAUCCAAGUGGCUUUAUUUUUCAUGUUCACAAGUGGAUGUGGGUGGACUUUGUAACGAUCCGUCUCUGCAUCACAUUUGGAAGAGCGGGCAGCUCUGAAGAGAUGAGAUCCAGGGUUAACUCUGAUCAACUGAGUUACACUUUUUCAAAAGAAAAGCUGCUCCGAAACUUCCUUGUCCUAAUACCGAAGUCUCUCUUUAUGUCUUUAAAAGGUAUCAUCAGAAUGUGGCCUAAGAGAAGUACAGAAUUAAGAGUCAAAAGGAUUCACCCACUGCUGAAUCGAAAAGUAUCCCAAAAUGACUGAUCAAGACCCCCAAAUUACUGCCAAAGUUGCUAGCUUUUGUGCAGCAGUGAUAGCUUGUCGGUGAAAGAUCUUGCCACAGUUUUAGAAGGUUUUAAUAUUUACUUCAGCAUUUACCUUUGUCAUUUUAGCAUAUAAAUGUUUUAUAUCGUUUUAACUACCACAUUCAAUACUGUGUUUUAACCUUGUUCUUCACUGUGUUUCUUAGUAUCUAAUUGCAUACGUUUCUACGCUAUUCUGAUGCUUGUACAUUUUCUGUUGCUGGUCAUCGACUGUAAUAAAUAGAUAUAUAUA